AUACGGAGGGGGCUAGCGUUGUUCGGAAUUACUGGGCGUAAAGCGCGCGUAGGCGGACCUGUAAGUCGGGGGUGAAAGCCCGAGGCUCAACCUCGGAACUGCCUUCGAUACUACAGGUCUUGAGUCCGAGAGAGGUGAGUGGAAUUCCCAGUGUAGCGGUGAAAUGCGUAGAUAUUGGGAAGAACACCGGUGGCGAAGGCGGCUACCUGGACCGGAACUGACGCUGAGGCGCGAAAGCCAGGGGAGCGAAUGGGAUUAGAAACCCCAGUAGUCC
rnacentral:rRNA from 1 species